GUGGCCGUAGCUCAGUUGGUAGAGCCCCGGAUUGUGAUUCCGGUUGUCGUGGGUUCGAUCCCCAUCGGUCACCCCA
rnacentral:tRNA from 1 species